CAUGUUCUAAGCAUAGAACAUGUGCGUUUGAAGGCAUAAUUUUUUUUUUCCUUGUAGCUGUACAGAGGGAAGGCUCCUUGAUAAAUUGCAUCGGCGCCGCAAAAUCGAAGCAACAAGUCAAAUUUAAAAUGUAUAUAUGCUUUCUUUUCACCGCGUUACCAUUUUUAUGACUACCGCGGCUUCGCAAUGACGCAGCGUCUAUUCUUGAGAGCGGCGACCAUCGCCGACUCGUCUGCUCUGGCCGUGACGCAGCGUCUUUUUGAUGAGCGAGAUAGCGCAGCAGACGGCGGCGGCGUGCAUUCUAUGCUGUGUACUAGACAGUCUCGCUGUAGGAACAGCGUUGGGACGCUCCGUUUGUCGUCUGGAGAACUACGAAAAAAAAAUUCCGUCUAUUCUUGAGAGCGGUGACCAUCGCCGAGUCGUCUGCUCUGGCCGUGACGCAGCGUCUUUUUGAUGAUCGAGAUAGCGAAGCAGACGGCGGCGGCCGCGGCGUGCAGUCUAUGCUGUGUUCUAGACAGUCUCGCUGUAGGAACAGCGUUGGGACGCUCCGUUUGUCGUCUGGAGAACUACGAAAAAAAUGUCCGUGCCUCGCCGUGUGUCUGGGAAGAAUUGAAGUACGAGCGAACGUAGCAGCCGUUUCGUCUGCUGUGCCCGGUGUUGCAGAAUGCCCCAGAAGUUUUUUCCGAAUGUCAAAGACCGACAGGGGCAAGAUCGAACGGACAACGCAACGAAACGGCAACAACAAAUGGCUGUUCUGGGAGUGUUCGCCCGACCCUGCGGUCCUUCGCCGCCGGUACCUCCCCGCACGUGGCAUGGGGCCGUGGUCGGAGCGCCGGACCUCUCGAUUGCCUCGUCAAAAUUUCACUCGGAUUUUGUUACAAACUGAGCCAUGGGAGAAAGCCAUCCUUGAAACACCUCAACAUUCUGCAGACAUACUUCCCCACAUGUCUUCAGGGCACAGUGGUGAAACGAAUCAAGGGAAGCACCCCCUUUUCCCUGGCCGUCCAGUUCAAAUCCUGUGGUCACACAGUUUCCAUUCCUGGUCCCUGCAGCCGCAUUCCGAUGGAGGUGUAAUUGGAGCCCUUGCCUAGGUGAAGACUUGGCCGCUGUCCCCGCAUGCUGCCUCCAACACGUUGACAGGCUGCCCCGGGUAGCCCUGCUCUCCUCUCAAGGUUGCGGGGGCUGACAAGGAGGCUGACGCCCUGGCAAAGGGCGUCACUGUACCACGCCACUGUGCCAGUCAGCACCACUGUAACGGCCUUCGACAGUGCAAAUCACAUGUUGCAACGGCGCUCCAUCCGGAUCGACGUGUCGCCAGUGGUCGACCCCCUCUCCAGUGCCUCCUGUUCGCGGCCUCACAAGGCAGGAGCGGACUCUACUGCUGCGCCUCCGAAUCGGCUGCAAAGGUGAUUGUUCACUGACCUCCAGCGGAGCGGAGAACACACCCUGCCCCAUCGUCCAGGCCCCUUCCACAACAAAAGGAACCUGCAGUGACACGUCAACCGGCUGACACUCGGUACACUGUGAUGUCAAAGUGAGAAUGCAGUCAUCACUACACACUUUGCUGUCUGGACCGUCACCAUCUGCAGUUGUUCUGGCAAACUGCAGGCUCUGGUGCGGCACUAGAUGGACAGUUGCAAGUUCUUAAAGAACAAGGACCACUGGACCCCGGGGGCAGUCAUACAUGGACGUCGUCCCACCAGCGAACUCGACCAUGGCGAGCUGCUCGAGCGUCCAGCGCAGUGGUGACACCCAUUGUAGCCACGAGGUCACCAGCGACAGGUCCAUGAG